rnacentral:rRNA from 1 species
UGGGGAAUAUUGCACAAUGGGCGCAAGCCUGAUGCAGCCAUGCCGCGUGUAUGAAGAAGGCCUUCGGGUUGUAAAGUACUUUCAGCGGGGAGGAAGGCGAUAAGGUUAAUAACCUUGUCGAUUGACGUUACCCGCAGAAGAAGCACCGGCUAACUCCGUGCCAGCAGCCGCGGUAAUACGGAGGGUGCAAGCGUUAAUAGGAAUUACUGGGCGUAAAGCGCACGCAGGCGGUCUGUCAAGUCGGAUGUGAAAUCCCCGGGCUCAACCUGGGAACUGCAUUCGAAACUGGUAGGCUAGAGUCUUGUAGAGGGGGGUAGAAUUCCAGGUGUAGCGGUGAAAUGCGUAGAGAUCUGGAGGAAUACCGGUGGCGAAGGCGGCCCCCUGGACAAAGACUGACGCUCAGGUGCGAAAGCGUGGGGAGCAAACA